GAACGAAAAUCCGUUGGUUCACAGGACCGUGAGGGUUCGACUCCCUCUAUCCCCAACG
rnacentral:tRNA from 1 species